rnacentral:rRNA from 1 species
UACGUAGGGGGCAAGCGUUGUCCGGAUUUACUGGGCGUAAAGCGCGCGUAGGCGGAUUUGCAAGUCCGGGGUGAAAGCCCGAGGCUCAACCUCGGAACUGCCCUCGAUACUGCAAAUCUCGAGUCCGAGAGAGGUGAGUGGAAUUCCUAGUGUAGAGGUGAAAUUCGUAGAUAUUAGGAAGAACACCAGUGGCGAAGGCGGCUCACUGGCUCGGUACUGACGCUGAGGCGCGAAAGCGUGGGGAGCAAACAGG